GGCACGGUAGCUGGGUGGGUAAAGCGCUCACAGCUAUUUACUCGAUACCAAACGUCGAUGGUUCGAUUCCAUCCUGGAGCAAGUUA